CCUACGGGAGGCAGCAGUGAGGAAUAUUGGGCAAUUGGCGAAACCCUGAUCCAGCCAUUCCGCGUGAGUGAAGAAGGCCUUCGGGUUGUAAAGCUCUUUCGGCAGGAACGAAACGGCGGACUCUAACAUAGUCUGUCAAUGACGGUACCUGAAGAAGAAGCACCGGCUAACUACGUGCCAGCAGCCGCGGUAAUACGUAGGGUGCGAGCGUUAAUCGGAAUUACUGGGCGUAAAGCGUGCGCAGGCGGCUUUGUAAGACGGAUGUGAAAUCCCUGGGCUUAACCAAGGAACUGCGUUCGUGACUGCAAAGCUAGAGUGCGGAAGAGGGGGGUGGAAUUCCUGGUGUAGAAGUGAAAUGCGUAGAGAUCAGGAGGAACACCGAUGGCGAAGGCAGCCCCCUGGGUUGGAACUGACGCUCAUGCACGAAAGCGUGGGGAGCAAACAGGAUAAGAUCCCCGGGUAGU
rnacentral:rRNA from 1 species